rnacentral:ncRNA from 1 species
CGGGCCGAGAGGCGCUGCGACGGAUUUUCUUCCGCCACGCUCGGCCUGCACCACGAUUCCAAGGGCGCCUCCCGCGA